rnacentral:piRNA from 1 species
UAGACAGGUCAGUGCAAAGCUGGAAAGGAGC